UACUAGCUGCCAGGUUAAGUAGCCAAUUCUAGCUGCCAAAAGACAAUCGAUAUGGCAGUAGUUAAGACGGCAACUGUGUUUUGGCUUGUAGUUUUCGUGGUGAUCUCUUCUUGCUCUCAGCAUGCACUAGCAAGUCGUUCUCAAGCCUCCAUACAAAAGGAUGCAGUAAUGCAACACUGUGAGGCUUACAUGAGGAGACGUUUUCCCAUGCCAUUCUUGCAACAUAACGACGCAUGCUGCCAAGUAGUGAGAGGAUCGCUUAACCUCCUAGCCGUUUGUAACCAGUUUACGGCCCAGGAAUUGGCGCGAAUCAGUCUGGCCAGAUGGGCUAAGGUUACAUAUGCGUGUGGUAAUGCAUUGCCUGAAGGGAGCGACUGUGCAGGUUACACUGUUCAUUAUGGAGAUGCACAUGGGCGCUCCAAGUGAAGGUUGAUUGGACAACAUAUUGUAUCUUCCUUUUACCGAUACAAGUAAUAAAACAGAAACAUAUACUCUUAAA